rnacentral:rRNA from 1 species
UCCAGACUCCUACGGGAGGCAGCAGUGGGGAAUAUUGCACAAUGGGGGAAACCCUGAUGCAGCGAUGCCGCGUGGAGGAAGAAGGUUUUCGGAUUGUAAACUCCUUUUAUCAGGGACGAUAAUGACGGUACCUGAAGAAAAAGCUCCGGCUAACUACGUGCCAGCAGCCGCGGUAAUACGUAGGGAGCGAGCGUUGUCCGGAAUUACUGGGUGUAAAGGGAGCGUAGACGGUUAUGUAAGUCUGGAGUGAAAGCCCGGGGCCCAACCCCGGGACUGCUUUGGAAACUGUGUAACUGGAGUACAGGAGGGGCAGGCGGAAUUCCUGGUGUAGCGGUGAAAUGCGUAGAUAUCAGGAGGAACACCGGCGGCGAAGGCGGCCUGCUGGACUGAAACUGACGUUGAGGCUCGAAAGCGUGGGGAGCAAACAGGAUUAGAUACCCUGGUAC